ACAAUAAUAGUUUAAAUAAAACCAUGCUUUUGUAAAGCAUUAAUAUCUUUUGUAUUUAUUGUU
rnacentral:tRNA from 1 species